rnacentral:rRNA from 1 species
AACGAACGCUGGCGGCAUGCCUAACACAUGCAAGUCGAACGACACCUCCGGGUCUACUUGCGCUUGCGGGUGUCACGCGUGGGAACCUGCCCUUAUGCUCGGAAUACCUCCCCGUCAGGGGUGCUAAUACCGGAUAAUGUCUUCUAACCAAAGAUUCAUCGAGCUUGGAUGGGCCAGCGUUGGAUUAGCUGGUGGGUAGUGUAAAAGCCUACCAAGGCUAGGAUCCUUAGCGGGUUAGAGAGGAUGAUCAGCGACACUGCGACUGAGACGCGGCCCAGACUCCUACGGGAUGCAGGAGAGGGGAAUAUAGGACAAUCGGGGGGGGCAUGAUCGAGCAAGGCCGGGUAAGUGAUGUAGGCCUUAGAGAAAAAAAGCACUUUUACCCGGGAUGAUAAUGACGGUACCGGAAGAAUAAGCACCGGCUAACUCCGUG